rnacentral:tRNA from 1 species
GGGGAUGUAGCUCAGCGGUAGAGCGUGUGCUUUGCAUGUACAAGGCCCCGGGUUCGAUCCCUGGCAUCUCCA